UACGUAGGGUCCGAGCGUUGUCCGGAAUUACUGGGCGUAAAGAGCUCGUAGGUGGUUUGUCGCGUUGUUCGUGAAAACUCACAGCUCAACUGUGGGCGUGCGGGCGAUACGGGCAGACUGGAGUACUGCAGGGGAGACUGGAAUUCCUGGUGUAGCGGUGGAAUGCGCAGAUAUCAGGAGGAACACCGGUGGCGAAGGCGGGUCUCUGGGCAGUAACUGACGCUGAGGAGCGAAAGCUAGGGGAGCAAACGGG
rnacentral:rRNA from 1 species